rnacentral:rRNA from 1 species
GGAAUAUUGGUCAAUGGGCGGGAGCCUGAACCAGCCAAGUCGCGUGAGGGAAGACGGUCCUACGGAUUGUAAACCUCUGUCCUCUGUGAAGAUAAUGACGGUAGCAGAGGAGGAAGCUCCGGCUAACUACGUGCCAGCAGCCGCGGUAAUACGUAGGGAGCAAGCGUUGUCCGGAUUUACUGGGUGUAAAGGGUGCGUAGGCGGCCUUGCAAGUCAGAAGUGAAAUCCAUGGGCUUAACCCGUGAACUGCUUUUGAAACUGUAGGGCUUGAGUGAAGUAGAGGCAGGCGGAAUUCCCGGUGUAGCGGUGAAAUGCGUAGAGAUCGGGAGGAACACCAGUGGCGAAGGCGGCCUGCUGGGCUUUAACUGACGCUGAAGCACGAAAGCGUGGGUAGCAAACAG